rnacentral:tRNA from 2 species
GCGAGGGUUGCCCAGAGGUCAAAGGCGAUGGGCUUAGGACCCAUUUUCGUAGGAAUUCGUGCGUUCGAAUCGCACCCCUCGCA